rnacentral:rRNA from 1 species
UACGUAGGGAGCAAGCGUUGUCCGGAAUCAUUGGGCGUAAAGCGCGCGUAGGUGGCCUCAUAAGUCCGUUGUGAAAGUCAAAGGCUCAACCUUUGAAAGCCGAUGGAUACUGUGAGGCUAGAGUCCGGAAGAGGCGAGUGGAAUUCCUGGUGUAGCGGUGGAAUGCGCAGAUAUCGGGAGGAACACCAGUAGCGAAGGCGGCUCGCUGGGCCAUUCCUGACGCUGAGACGCGAAAGCUAGGGGAGCGAACAGG